GACUGGGUUGUCUUCAGUUGAGCUCUAAACCUGAUCAAUGUAGUGCUCUCCCGUAUGUGCAGAGGAAGACUGUUCCAGAUGUUAGUGGCCCUCAC